rnacentral:misc_RNA from 1 species
CAGGUAGAGACAUGAUAUCGAAAGAAAAGUAUCGAUACUUUCACUUGGUAACGAAUGGAAUGAAAAUAACGAAACGUAACGACCGAAAUGCUCCUGCGAAGAGUGUCCUUGAUGUGGUGAUAUAGAUAUUGGCAAAUAGUGGUAUAUCAAGUCGACUGAGUGAUCCAGUAAUAGCUAAAAAUUUCUCAUUAUUGAUUGAUAUUAAUGGUAUUAAGGAUGACAUUAAACAAUUUUCCAGG